rnacentral:rRNA from 1 species
UACGUAGGUGGCAAGCGUUAUCCGGAAUUAUUGGGCGUAAAGCGCGCGCAGGCGGUUUCUUAAGUCUGAUGUGAAAGCCCACGGCUCAACCGUGGAGGGUCAUUGGAAACUGGGGAACUUGAGUGCAGAAGAGAAAAGCGGAAUUCCACGUGUAGCGGUGAAAUGCGUAGAGAUGUGGAGGAACACCAGUGGCGAAGGCGACUCUUUGGCCUGUAACUGACGCUGAGGCGCGAAAGCGUGGGGAGCAAACAGG